rnacentral:rRNA from 1 species
UACGAAGGGGGCUAGCGUUGCUCGGAAUUACUGGGCGUAAAGGGCGCGUAGGCGGCACUGUUAGUCAGGCGUGAAAGUCCUGGGCUCAACCUGGGAACUGCGCUUGAUACGGCAGAGCUAGAGGAUGGAAGAGGGUCGCGGAAUUCCCAGUGUAGAGGUGAAAUUCGUAGAUAUUUGGGAAGAACACCGGUGGCGAAGGCGGCGACCUGGUCCAUUACUGACGCUGAGGCGCGACAGCGUGGGGGAUCAAACAGG